rnacentral:rRNA from 1 species
CUAAUACAUGCAAGUCGUACGCACUGGCCCAACUGAUUGAUGGUGCUUGCACCUGAUUGACGUUGGAUCACCAGUGAGUGGCGGACGGGUGAGUAACACGUAGGUAACCUGCCCCGGAGCGGGGGAUAACAUUUGGAAACAGAUGCUAAUACCGCAUAACAACAAAAGCCACAUGGCUUUUGUUUUGAAAGAUGGCUUUUGGCUAUCACUCUGGGAUGGACCUGCGGUGCAUUAGCUAGUUGGUAAGGUAACGGCUUACCAAGGCGAUGAUGCAUAGCCGAGUUGAGAGACUGAUCGGCCACAAUGGAACUGAGACACGGUCCAUACUCCUACGGGAGGCAGCAGUAGGGAAUCUUCCACAAUGGGCGCAAGCCUGAUGGAGCAACACCGCGUGAGUGAAGAAGGGUUUUCGGAUUGUAAACUUCUGUUCUCGUUGACGAAGACAGUGACGGUAAACGAGGAGCAAGCCACGGCUAACUACGUGCCAGCAGCCGCGGUAA